rnacentral:rRNA from 1 species
GACGAACGCUGGCGGCGUGCUUAACACAUGCAAGUCGAACGGUAAGGCCCUUCGGGGUACACGAGUGGCGAACGGGUGAGUAACACGUGGGUGAUCUGCCCUGCACUUCGGGAUAAGCCUGGGAAAAUGGGUCUAAUACCGGAUAGGACCCUGGGAUGCAUGUUCUGGGGUGGAAAGCUUUUUCGGUGUGGGAUGGGCCCGCGGCCCAUUAGCUUGUUGGUGGGGUGAUGGCCUACCAAGGCGACGAAGGGUAGCCGGCCUGAGAGGGUAAACGGCCCCACUAGGACUGAGAUACGGCCCAGACUCCUACGGGAGGCAGCAGUGGGGAAUAAUGCACAAUGGGCGCGUGCCUGAUGGAGCAACGCCGCGUGAGGGAUGACGGACUUCGGGUUGUAAACCUCUUUCAGCACCGACGAAGCGCAAGUGACGGUAGGUGCAGAAGAAGGACCGGCCAACUACGUGCCAGCAGCCGCAGUAA